rnacentral:rRNA from 1 species
UACGUAGGGGGCAAGCGUUGUCCGGAAUCAUUGGGCGUAAAGCGCGCGUAGGCGGCCCUGUAAGUCCGUUGUGAAAGUCAAAGGCUCAACCUUUGAAAGCCGAUGGAUACUGCAGGGCUAGAGUCCGGAAGAGGCGAGUGGAAUUCCUGGUGUAGCGGUGGAAUGCGCAGAUAUCAGGAGGAACACCAAUAGCGAAGGCAGCUCGCUGGGACGGUACUGACGCUAAGGCGCGAAAGCAUGGGGAUCAAACAGG